rnacentral:lncRNA from 1 species
UCUUCACCUGUCCACCCACUAGCCCUACCAGCAUUGGAGGACACCAACUUUUGGGUAUCUUCCACCCCACUAGAGAGGUAACUAAGGCCACCUAUUUGGUCACCAAAACCUCCAACACCAACAUAUCCAACUUCUCCUUCUUUCACAUCACUCAUCUGAUUCUUCUUGCAGCUUCCAUCUGAAGAAGAGCUGCAACUUGUUUCACCCCCUAACAUAAAACCACAAUUAACUUGGUAAAGUCUCUCAAAACUGGAACAAGCUGGAGUAGAAGAAGAAUUGCCACUCAGAAGACUUGCGUAUGAAAUGGCCUCAGAGCCUG